AAUGUGGCAAAAGGUCGCAAAGUUCAAGGGGGCCGAAUACUUUCGCAAGGCACUGUAUGUAAUCUUUCAUUCUCUCCAACAACUCUAGGUACCGCCUGUCGUCAGACAGGUUACAACUACCAAGCUACUCUUUACCAUGGGUCGUGUCCACCAAGGAAACAUUUGUUGGUGAAUCUGAACGAUCUCAUUUCAAGCCGGAAGUGUUUAAGUGUGUGAGGUGCCUCUUUGUGGACACCUUUGCUUGACGGAUCUUACCACAGACGUCACCGAAGGUCACCGAAGGUGUGCGUCGUCAUCAUAUUGGGAAGCCAAAAGUGUGUAUGUUCCAGUCAAAGGAUUGCACUGCUGAACGGAUCUGCAAAGAGCUGGAACAAAUUUGGGGUGAAUUAUUAUGCCCCGUCCUCUUCAACUCCACACCGCUGGUUGCCGCACUGAGUAUAAACCAAGGCAGAGAAGUGGUUUCUUAUAGUAUUUAUCCUUUGAAAACGAGUUGACUGGAAAGGUACUGUUUGUGUGUGCCCAAACACACAGAGAUAGACGGACAUGGAAUAAGGCAGCCACUUUAGCUUGUUCUGUGACUGCUGAAGGGGUGUAGAAACACUGACAUGUACUGGCCAUUGAGAGAACUAGACCUCUUUUGCAGCAAUGGUGAAAAUGUGUGAAUUUUUUUUAGCGACUAUUAUAACGGCCUUUUGGGAUGUUCGAAAAUCAUCAGCCAUGUUCAACUGGUAUAUAUUGAUGAUGAUCAACACUGUCCUUUUGUUGCCAAAGGAGAGAGAGAUGUAUUCUGUUUUCUAUUGUACAAAUAUUCACAGCCACAGUACAAGGUACUACCAUGUAUUUUCCCAACCGAUACACUGCUCUCUGUGAAGCUGUUUGCUUCUGACAGUGAUACUGCACAGAUCGUCAGUGAUGCAUUGGUCUAUUAUCUCCGGCUCAGUCAAACAGGUUUCGAGAGCCCAUCAUAUUGAUAGUUCUGCUGUUGACCGCCGUCUGGAUGUCUCUCUCCUUCUCUCUCUCUCUCUCUCCUCACACAUAUCCGAUGUGUUUCUCAGCACUUCCAGCUCACUGGAUCACAGUUCCAGUAUAUCUUAUGUGUGUUGAGGUGAACGCCAGAAGACCACAUGAGCGAAAAGGACUGCUCCUUGUUCACAACAUGAGUUCCUAACAGUCGCCCAGAAUGUUUCUGCAUGUCUGAUUGACUGUUUCUUUGGUGUUGAUACAAUGUCAACGUAUUGGUUCGGUUUUGAGUUUCUCUUUUCUAUUUCCCCGAUGGUCUGGUAGGCACACAGGCCCGGUGGAUUAACAACCCGCCUUCCCAGAACAUUGGUGUUUUCCUCGGGAACAAAACCAGCAGCUAUUCAAAAAGGUUUUUCUCUCUCUUUUUCCCUCUCCCUACGGCAUGUAUUUGAAGUAUAGCUGAAGAAGCAUUAAGAAUAAAUGAGACGGUUUCUCAAUUUUCAUCUCCACACAAACGAGGUAUCAAAAGUAUUAUUCAACAGGUGGGGUAAAUAACUCUCAAAACAGUUCCUAUGCAAAAUCAAA